AGCCUUAAGCUUAAGAUUUAAGGUGGACCCUGCCCAGUGAAGUAUAUUUAACGGCCGCAGUACCCUGACUGUGCUAAGGUAGCGUAAUCAAUUGGCUCUUAAUUGGAGUCGUGUAUGAAUGGGUUAACGGGAAAUAACUGUCUCAUCCUGGGGUUAAAGUGAAAUUGCUUAUAGGGUGAAAAUUCCCUAGCUUAGAAAAAAGACGAGAAGACCCUAGGAGUUUUACCUUAGUUGCUGAGUUAGCUAGCUUAGGUUUUGCUGGGGCGGCAUAGAGGCAAAUUAAACCCUCUAUCACCUAUUUUUGAUAGGACAUUUCUAAGAUGGGAAUUUAACUACCCUAGGGAUAACAGCAUAAUUUUUUAAAAGUUUGUGACCUCGAUGUUGGACUAGGGACCUUAUGGCUAGCAGUCAGACAGGCCUGUUCUGUUCGAACAGUUUACCCUACA
rnacentral:rRNA from 1 species